CCCUCACCACCGUGCAUGGACUAACAAACAUGAAACACCACGAGCACCAGGCGGCCUAGGGGAGGAGAAGAAUGGUGCCCGAGAAGAGUGAGGGGCAUCUGGCUAGCCUUGCUGUGUGAUGGGAGGCCAGCUUCAUGGGCUGGCUGUUUCUGUGCUGGUCUCAAGUUUUGUUUUAGCACCCAGAGUUACUCCUGAGUCCCUGCAGGAAUAAGCUGUCAACCUCAUAUGUAGGGGACACUUUUGGGAGAGUGCUCAGCUCACAGGACCACCCAACUCUACUCCCACCUCUGAAUCCCACCAUCUUCAGAGAGUGGGCUCCUGCCAGCCACGCUGGACAGUGAAUUCUGGUCACCCUAGCCACAGUUGAGUGCGCCUCUGGUGGGAUGAGGAAGACUUUAGUCAUGCCCAUCACUCCCAUUUCCAACUAGGUUGCCACCCACCCCUGUGUGUCCCUUUGUAGGAUUCUGGAGCCCCUGUGAGUGAGCAGCUGACCCAUGCUGGACCAGUGUACUUGUUUGCACAGGUGGAACCUGACAGCACCUUGCAUGGGUUGCAGUGAGCCGAGAUCACAACACUACAAUCCAGCUUGGGUAACAGAGCAAGACUCCAUCUCAAAAAAAAAAAAAAAAAAAAGACGCCAUCCUUCCCACACCAGCCAGAAAGAGAGCAAACCGUGUGGGUGAGAAAUACUGACUACAGCGGCGGCUUCCUUCAUCUCAGCAACAAGUUUGUGGCAGAGCUUAGUGGAUACCACCCUAUUCACCUGAGAUUUGGAAUACUGAAGCUUUGGAAAUCAUGAAGGCAGAACUUGCUAUGAAAGGACUCCACUGCACUGUCUCCUUCUGUAUUGGCAGAAGGGGCCUAGUGAGCACCCUUCUUCACCUGUGUCUUGUUCUGGUCUCAGAUGCAUAUUUUGAAUAGUUGCAAGGAAUAUGGAUGUGACAAUUCCUGCCUUACCUCUAGUAGAUCAACAUUACAUUUUCAAGUAAAGGGAACAUAGAUUGGAGGGUGAGCAAGACACAAAACUUGGAAGCCACGAAAAAA
rnacentral:lncRNA from 1 species